rnacentral:rRNA from 1 species
AGUUGCCUACGGGAGGCAGCAGUGGGGAAUAUUGCACAAUGGGCGAAAGCCUGAUGCAGCAACGCCGCGUGAAGGAAGAAGGCCUUCGGGUCGUAAACUUCUGUCCUUGGGGAAGAAGAACUGACGGUACCCAAGGAGGAAGCUCCGGCUAACUACGUGCCAGCAGCCGCGGUAAUACGUAGGGAGCGAGCGUUGUCCGGAAUUACUGGGUGUAAAGGGAGCGUAGGCGGGACUGCAAGUUGGGUGUCAAAUCUACCGGCUCAACCGGGAGCGGCACUCAAAACUGCAGUUCUUGAGUGAAGGAG